AACUUUUAGCAAUGGAUCACUUGGCUCUCCUAUCGAUGAGGAACGCAGCGAAAUGCGAUAAGUAAUGUGAAUUGCAGAAUUCAGUGAAUCAUCGAAUCUUUGAACGCACCUUGCGCCCUUUGGUAUUCCGAAGGGCAUGCCUGUUUGAGUGUCAUUAAAUUAUCAACCUUGCUCGCUUUUACCGGCUUGAGUUAGGCUUGGAUGUGGGGGCUUUUGCUGGCUUCCUUUAGUGGAUUGUCUGCUCCCUAUAUAUGCAUUAGUGGAAUCUGUUGUGGACCGUCACUUGGUUUUAUAAUUAUCUAUGCCUUUUGACUUUGAAGCAAACUAAUGGGAACCUGCUUAUAACCGUCUUCGGACAAUCUAUUGACAUUUUGACCUCAAAUCAGGUAGGACUACCCGCUGAACUUAAGCAUAUCAAUAAGCGGAGGCU
rnacentral:misc_RNA from 1 species